GAGUUGAGAGUUGAGUUGAGAGAUGAGUUGAGUUGAGUUGAGUCGAGUUGAGUUGUUGAGUUCAGUUAGUUUAGUUGGGCCUGAAUAAUGGAGCCAUUUUGUGUACUGGGUAUCCCACUCUUGGACAAUUUCAGCCUUAUUCUACUUACUUUCUUGAUUGGUAGCAUCUGGGUGUUUUUUUCUAGGUAUUGGAGCUGGACACAGGUGGCAGCCAAGACAGAGUCAUUCCAGUGAGUGUCCAUAUCUCCUUGUGGUUCCAUGUUCAUUCCCCCAUGACUAGAAAUGAGUGAAGAGAUCAAGAAACCCACAGUUUUACAAAUGGACGACUCCAGAAUGAAAUUUGGGGAAGAACAUCUCCUUAGUAUUUUAGGACUUCCUAUGGGCUACACAGAGGACUAUAUAUUAUCCUCAAUAGACAAGAACCUUCGACAUCUGGAAAAUGCAAGAGCAACACUUUUGGAACCGGAUUUACCAGAAUCCCAUGGUACAUCUUCUUCCUCCAUCUCUGACACUGUGGCUCAUGAGAGUGUCCCACAUUGCCGUUACUGUAAAAAUAGAAAACGUUCUACUGACUACAGCAUGUCCUCUGAAUCCUCCAAGAACAGCUCAAUCCUGUCUUAUCUUCCAAUCUUUCCUGAAAGAACAACUUGGAAAAUCCAGGGCAAUAUUGUCCCCGAUUCCCCGGAAAAGGAAUUGCCCAAGUCCAGGAACCAAAGCACACCACUGCCUACCUUUCAGCUGACCGACACUGAGAAGUCAGAACUUUCCCAGAAUUUUGCUGUCCUUCCUCCCUUACAAGCUCAUGGCUCUUUUAUUAGCUCUAAUUUACAAUCCCUAGAUCCGUUAGUCAGGAGAGAGCUGCAAGGACAUAUGUCUCAGAAGGUUUCUACUCUGCAGAAACAAGUGGUACCUCUGCCUGUGAAGAAGUCAUGGAAAACACUCAAUCAUCUGAUGGAUGUACAAGGAGUUCCUGAACAAGAGAUCCCCCACACUCAGUUAUCUACACCCAUCCCUCAGAGCACCAAGCCAAGUACCAACAGAUCUUCAGGUGUUCCAUCGAUUCAUCUACAUGUGAACAUUGGGGUCAAUUCUGAAGUAAAUAGGACAGAAGCCAGAAUGUCACGGCCACUUACCUCCAAGAAGCAGUUAGAAUCUGAGAAUGACCACCAAAUCAUUAGAUACAAUCCUUUAGUUAUAUCAAUGGACACGCCAUCUUCCAGAAAUGUAGAAGUUAAUGCAAUUCAGGAAGAAACCUCUUUACUGAAAAAGGAUCCAAAGCACAUGUUAGACCUGAAUACAGAACAGAGGGUCAUAGGUCUUCCAGAAGAAAGGAUAAAGUCACAUAAGACACAAGGAACUAAUGCGGAGCUGACACCCAAGGCACCAUGUCCAGCCACAGACAGAAUAAAGAUCACUCCAAUGGCAUUGCUUCAGGUUAUGGAUUCAAUGGGAAUAAUCCCAGAUUCACAUUCAGAGGUAACAGACCCUGUGAGGAAAACAAAAGAUAAGAGUGACUUAUCGCAGCCAUCAAACCAAGCUCAAACAGUAAGUAUACCUCCCAAGUCAUCAAAUCCAGUAAUUGAAUCCAUAAAAGUAGCAAAUCCUGAGCAUCAAAAAAGGGAACCAAAGAUUACUAACCCAUCAGAAACGAGUCUGUAUGAAUACACAGCAAGCACCGAAUUGACAUUGCCUGAUGUUGAUAAUAUCCAGGGAACCAUUGUAGAAUCAUAUUCAGAAAUGGGAUCUCAGGGGUUGAAUCUAGAACCAAGAGUGCAAAUUGAGGAAUCAGAGUCAUUGGUAGAAAAAACCACUGAACCAUCUGGACUAGUUGUAGAACCUAUAGAGUUAGAUACAGGACCCACAACACAUAUUAUAGAUGUGAUCCCAGGGCCACAGCUCCACAAUGUAAAGUCUAUGCAAAUAGAUACAGGACUAGAAUUACAAAGUGAGUUAUCUGCGGAUUUAGUACAACAGUCAUCUAUAGGAUUGGUAGAUCCUGAAAAGGCAAAACUAGAGCCAGAGCUUCAGAGUUUAUCACCAAAGGAGUUGGUUGAGGGGACACAGAUUCCAACUGUGAAAUCCGUGGAUUUGAAUCUGGGCCAAGAGCCGCCAGUUGUCAAAUCUCCAUUGAUUCCAGGGCCACACCUGCAAAGAGUCAGAUUUCCAAAGUUAUGUCAAGGGCAACUUCUUCAAGGGGAAAAUCCAGCAAAUUCUAUCUCGGGCUCCCUAUAUAAUAAUUUGAAAUCUGAUGAAGCAAUAUCAUAUUUCCCAGUACAAGAAAUCAGGUCCUUUGGUGCUAUUCCAGGGCCAAAGGUUCUAGAAUCACAUCUACAACAUGUGAAAUCUACUGAAAUAAAUCUAGGACCAUGUUUGCAAGAUGUGAGAUUUUUUGAUUCGAUGCCAAAACCUAAGCACCAUGGCUUCAAAUAUACACAGUUAAUAAAAGGUUUUCCGCUUCAAGAGAGGAUAUCUCAGGGAUUUAUGCCAGAAUCAUUUUGGCCAUUAAGCCAAGAGCCAAAGUUCAAAGAUAGGAAGCUUGCUAUGCCUACACAAGGAUCAGAGUUUCACAACAUUAAAUUUACAACACAAGCCUCUGAACUACAGCAUCCACAUGUGAUAUCUGAGGAUGUCAGCACAGGACGUCGGGAACAAGAUACCAAAUUUUCUGAGCUGGCUUCAAGACCGAGACUUCAAGAGGUCAAAUUUGGGGAGCAAAUCUCAGGAUUGAUGUGUGAUAGUGGAAGUUCUAUGACUCUAGAGUUAGGGAUGCAUGACCCCAAAUUAGCAAAGAUGAUGACUGCAGGGCUACAAGAUUCAAGGCAAGUUAGUUUUAACUCAGGGCCAUGGCUUCAAGAUGUCAAAUUUUUGGAUGUAAUACAAGGAACUCCACUUCAAGGUAUGGAAACUUCAGAGCUAAACUCAGGGCCAUAUUUAGAAUGUGUAAAAAGUUUUGAGUUGACAACACAGCCAGAGAGGCAGGGGAUGAAGCCAGAAUUGAUAGGACAAGAGUCCCCAUUUCACGGUGUAAAAUAUGUCAUAAGGAAUCAAGUACCAAGCUUUGAAGACAAAAUGUCUUAUAAAAUGGUAUCUGAGUCACAGGUGCAAAUGGCGGAAACAAUGAAAUUGGCUCCUGGGAGACACUUAGGAAAUGCAGAUCAUUCUGAGUUGAUCAGAAGACCGCAGACCCAAGGCAGAGCAUUUUCCGAAUUGAUAGAAGGACAACUUUUGGGACAUAUAAAACCUGUGGAGAAGAACACAGUCUCAAAGCAAGAAGCUCUGCCAUCUGUGGAAUUAACACCAGGGCUACAUUUGGGAGACUUUACAUCUACAAAGGUAAAGUCAAUGUCAGAGCAGAAGCAGGUCAGAUCUACGCUGUCAACCCCAGGGAUGCAGGCAGGAGAUAUGAAUGUUGAGGAGCUGCCUCCAGGCUCCAGCUUGAAGAGUUUAAAACAUAGGUUACUUCCUUCAAGGCCAAAAAUAGAAGAUAGGAAACCUGUGAUCUUAACUGUAGAAGAGUGUCUCAAGAUGAUAAAAUCUACUGUGGAAUCCCCAAGUAGUUCACUGAGAGGAGAUAUGAAGUCUGUGCAGUUGAUUCCAGGUUCAAGAAUUCAAGAUUUGAAAAACAAGGGGUUGGCCUGUGAUACACAUGUUCAAGAUGUAAAUGUAGAUGAAAAUGCCAUGGACUUGAAACUUGAACCAAAGAAGCAAGAGGAGAGUCCUGUGACUUUUGUACCAAAGAUGCUGUUUCAAGAGAAGUCUAUGGAGGUGUUUCAAGGGCCUCAACUGCAAGGUAUAAAACCCAAGGAACUGACUUCACUGCCACAAAUGCAAGAUAGGAAACCUGUGAUCACCCUAUGUUUGAAACAGCAAAGUGUGAAACCUGUAACUGUAGCCAAUACAAAAUCAAAACCUGCAAAUAUGAAACCCACAGAUGAAAUGAACUCUUACUUACAAUUCAAAGGCGCAACCUCAUUUGAAUUUGCUACUGAUCCGGUUGUUCAAAGUGUAAAACCUGAGAAGUUCCAAACAGCUAACUGUAGCCAAACACAAGGGAUCCAAGGAGUAAAUUCUUUUGUAUACACUGCAGGGCAAAAUCCUCUGUGUGAAAAUUCUAAUAGGUAUAAUCUUGGGCCACUUUUUCAAGGUAUGAAUUUUUGUACAUUUACAUCACCACAAAUUCUGUGUGUAUAUCCUGUUUGGUGCAAUACUAGAAUACAUUUGCAAGAUAUAAAUUCUUCUGCAUGUACUCUAAGUCAAGAAUUUCAGUCUGUAAAUUCUAUUGGCUACAACCCUGGGCCACAUUUACAAGCUCCAAAACUUCAAGAGCAACACUUGAAAGAUUUGAAGUCUGAAUUAACUCCAGGGUCAAACAAUUUGGAUAUAGCACCUAUGGAAUAUAACCCUGGUCCACAAAGUCAAGAUAUGAAUUCUUCUGGGUUUAAUCCUGAGUCAAAACCUCAGUGCAUAAGUUCUGUAAAGCCCAGUUCAGGGCCACAGUUACAAAGCAUAAAGUCCUUUGAGUUGACCCCUGACUCAGAGUCUCAAAGUACAAAAUCUGUUCUGUUAAACUCUAGAUCACCUUCUCAAGGUGUGGGUUCAUCUAACUUAAUGCUAGGGGCAAAGUUUCAAAAGAACCCACUUUUGAAGAACCAGCGUGGGUCAUGGCAGCAAAGUGCACAACCUAUAUUAAGUUUGAGGCCUCAGUCAAAUGGUGUGAAUUCUGUGGCUUUACCAAGGUCACCACCUGAAGAUAGAAAGUUUCCAGAGAGGAGUACACAAAUAUCAUUUUGUAAAAGUGCUGUAGAUCUGACAACUAGCUGUGGUCUGAACGACUUGAGCAAUAAGUUGUUUUUUCCAGAUCCUUGUUUUCAAAACCUUCAAAAUGUCCAUUUGAAGCCAGUGCCACAGUCUCAAAGUGUGAGUUCUUCAGAAUUGAUGCCAUGCCACAGUUCACAACAUCUUAUGUCUUCCCUUGCACCAAAGCCAUGUUUUCAAGAUACAAACCCUAAGGAGCUGAUAAUAGGAUCCAAACAGGAAAGUCUGAAUUGCCAACUCUUUCCUUCAGAGGAGAAACCAAUGAUGGUAUUGGCACCACAGUCCACCAGGAAGCUCUUAGCAGGACCAGCACUGACUAGUGUCAAAUUUUCAAAUUUGUCACUGAAACCACAGCAGCAAAAUACAAAAUCUUCGGCAUUUACUUCAGAGCCAAAAUGGCAAGGUGUAAAACAGGUAAAAUUGUCAUCAGUGUCUCUGCCAGAACCAGGAAAAUCUGUGGAGUCACCACCAAAGUCAAUUCUUCAAAACAUGAAACCUGGGAACCUAAUGCCCCAGACAAUUGAUUCUGUCACAAAAUCUGCUACAGUCAUAUAUAGACCAGAGCGACAGGUGGUGUUCUUUGCAGGGAUGAGCAUGAAGUCUAGGUAUCAAGUCCCUAAAUCGAAUUUUACUUCACCACCAACUUAUCAAGAUGUGGGAUCUUUAGAAAUGACUAAAGAGUUGGGACAUAAAAGCAAAGAAAUGAUGGAGAAAUCUGUGAGGUUUAGCUCCAACCCAACACAUAAAGUCAUAGAAUCAUUAGAGAUGCCCCUGAAGCUAGAUCUUCAAGUACCAGAAUUUUUUGAUCUGACUCCAACACUAAGUGAUCAAGAUUCAAAAUCCUCAGAACUAAACCAGAUCUCAGAAGCUCCUGAGUUGCAUUCUUGGUCAUGGCCUCAAUUUCAAGAUUUCAAGGAGUUACACGUAAAAGAAGUUACAGAAUCUGAUAGAAUGGCCCUCAACGUCAAGAGUCAUGUUGCAGACAUGAUAGAGGUGACUUGUGAAGCAAGACAGCCAGCGAAAGAAUUUCUUAGAAUGACUCCAAAGCCAGUAAAUAGAGAGCCCGGAUUUGUAGAAAAAUCUCCAAGGCCAUGUCCUCAAGACUUAGGACCUCUGGGGGUGGCCUCUAAGAAAAUAUCUCAAAGGGAACAAUCUGUAAUAUCAACACCAAGGCCAUUCUGUUACAUCCCAGAUCCUGUUUCAGGAAUAACACCAGGACCAGGAACUCAGAUUCCCAAAUCUAAAAAUUUGGCCUCUAUGCUGUGGCUGCAAAAAGAAUCUUCUGAGUUGUCAUGCAAGCAAACCAGUCAAAUUGAGGGAAAUACAGACUCUGUAGAGCUCACCUUUGGUACACGGCAGCCAGGAGAGGUAGCGGCUAAGCUAACAGAACCUCAAAAUCUGAGCCUGGAAAGUGCAAGCAUCACUCCAAUAGAAUCACUGGAUCAAACGGUAAACUUUGUAGGCAUUAAUCCAAAGCCACCAGAUCAAGUGACAGAAUCUGCAAAGACACCCCUUCCAGUUCCUCAAUCAGUUACCCUCCCCAAAGUUUCUGAAAAUGUGGAAGAGAUUCCUGGACCACCACUUCAAGUUAUAAAGUCUGUGAAGAUUCCAGAGAGUUACCCUCAAAAGUCAAAAUACAAUGAUUUUACUCCCAGAAUACAUAAUGUGAUAAGUUCAGAAUUUGCUCCAAGCCUUUGGCUACAAAAUGUGCAAUCCAAUAAAUUAACCCUAGUGCCAACACAUCAGGUUUUAGAAAUAAAACGACAACCAGGAUUUCAAAUUAUAAAGACUGUAUUAAAUCCCAAACCACUGGUUAUGAUUGUAAAAUCUGAAGAAGUGGCAUCAGGACUCACCAUGAGAUCGAGCAUUAAAAUAAAGGAGUGUUUGAAUUUACACCCAAGACCACAUCUUCAAGGACUGGUAAAACUUGCAGGGUUAACUCCAAAGGCAGAUAUUCAAGUGACUUCUGCAGAAUUAAUAUUUCAGCAAACAUCUCCCCUUAAGGAACCUACGUUGUUAACUCAUGAACAAAGGCUUCAGGCUGAAAAAUCUCUAGGCCUCACACCAGAAUCUCAUAAAGUAGUGAAAAUGGAGGAUUCAAAUCAGAGUAAAGACUCAGAGAUGAUCACAUCAGUACUGUUACAGGCAGAGAACUCCUUAUCUCGUUUCAUACACAGCCCUUCAGCCCCAUUUCUUUCUAGCAUUGAUAAAGCAACCCAAUUAGGGCACCUUCAGGGUUCUGGGGUGCCUAAAGAUUUAAGAGCUUUUGAUAUGGAAAACCUUGGUUUGGAAAUUUUGCAGUCUUCAAAGUCCUACACAGACACUAUUAUAAUAAAAUCUUCAGUUCUUCCCUUGGUCCUUCCAAAUCUACCCUCUGAUAAGACAGGGGACACCAAGGGAAACCCAUAUCCUGAGAUCUGGAGUAUGAAUGUCUUAUCUAAGGAAGGAAUUGAAAAGGGCCAAAUGGAGGAAUUCCAGAGGUAUUCUUCAUAUUCAUUCAAACUACUAUCAGAGGAGUUUCAGGCUGGAUUAGAGGCUCAAAGAAGCUCUAUCCAUUCUUUCUUGGGCAUACAACAGAAUGUCUGGGAAAGUCAUGUCUCUAGGCAGCGACUACCUAGGAAAUACCUCUCCAGUAUGCUAAUGCUGGGGAAUGUCCUGGGAACCAUUAUGGAAAAGAAGCCUUGUUCUCAGUCAAUUUUAACAGAAGGAUCCACUAUGGACAUCUGCCAGUCUAUUCAUAAUUUAUUUGGGGUUCCAGCUGAACUAAUGGAAUUUUCUCAAAGCCUGCUAGAGAAGGUUCCAAGGACUGUUUCUCAGACUUCAGUGGCUAAAAACUAUAUUCAGAGACAUAUUUUAUGUCACAGUAAUGAGAAAAGAAUGCCUUUAAAGAUGUGGACACGCGGCUCCACAUCUUCCAUAAUACAGCAAUACUCUGGUAGUAGAUUGGGUGUCAAGAAAACAAGCUCAAACCUCAGCAAUAUACUCCAGGAUGUCACUGAGCAUGUGUCUGUCUCAUGUACUGGGGCCAGGUUUCCUGCCUUGAUGAAAUCAGAGUCUAACUCUGAGAUACUUUACACUAGGGAAGGUUCUCUUUCCAGGGAGCAGAGUAAAAUUUCACCAUGUGAAAAUUUUACUAGGUCUUCCGAGUCUCAGCAUUCCCUCAGGACAGGUUCUUUCUCCCAGUCCAAGACAGAUAUCUCAGAACAGACCCAACUGCUAAAAGAACUACAGGGGAAAAUAGCAGGAAAUCUCCUAAGAAGUCAAAUACAGCACAAUAUCCCUCUUCCUCUAGCGUCAGGUCUUGUCCUAAAGUAUCCCAUCUGCUUACAAUGUGGUCGAUGUUCAGGAUUUAAUUGCUGUCAUAAUUUACAGUCUGCUUUUGGACCGUACCUUCUCAUCUACCCACAGCUCCACCUUUUAAGCACCCCUGAGGGCCAUGGUAGUGAGAUUCAGUUGCAUCUUAAAUUUAAAUUACAAACUAGGAAAAGACCUCAAGUCUCAAAGUAUCAUGCAAGAAACCGAGCAGAUCCAUGGAAGGGUGCUGCAUCACCAUCACGAAGGAAAGCCAGCCUCUCUACACCAGCAUCCAAGAGUCCUAGAAGAGAUUUCCAGUCCAGUUCUUCCCUGUCUCCUACUUCUGUACAAGUCCACACUCAACAAAAGCAAUGGUGCAGCCGUUGUAUGGCAGGAAACACAACAGCCAAAGACUCUGUGUUCUGUCAGGGUCAUGACUUAUCAGAGAGUGAAUACAGAAGCAAUCUGGAUGAAAGAUCUGUUAAAUCAAGCCCAAGAAAGACUUCUGUCUUAACACAUCCAAUGAAGAAAAUCAUCAAGGGACCUCAAACACAAAUCACAAGGCUCUACAAAAUCAGUACAAGCACAAAAGGCAGUCAUCCUAGAACACUGAGGGGUCUAUCAAGAAGCAAAAUGGAAAACACCCUAACAAGCACUUCCAAGAGACAGCCUAGGAAAUCCUGCCAGCCCAAAUUUAUCCAAUCGCUUUUUCACAGCCUAAGGCAGGCAUUCCAAGCAGCACACACAACUGUGAAUUUUAUAGGACAGAAACUUCAGUACAAGAUGAGGCCAGAUAAUUUGUGGUCAAUCAAAAACUUGCACCCCAAACAAAGAUCUGAGGAUUAUGGCUUAAUGGGAGAUAGCCAUGGAGCCAGGACACCAGUUGUCAGGUACAUGUCACCAAGCUCAACCCCUAAGCAAAAGGACAAGUUUCAGGGAGCAAGUGAGUGCUUUAGACAACCUCGAAAGCCCAAAGAAGCAAGGUCUCUCCUACCCAGACCAGUGCAAUUGCAGAAGAUCUUGGCUUGGGGAAGAGAUGUCUUUAACCAAGCUACUUCAGUCCCAGAACGUUUGAAGAGAGUUCAAAAUGUCUACAGUAUGGCAACAAAAAGCUGUAGUGAUGAAAUAUCCAGUCUAGAGUCCAAGAAGUUUUCUAAAGUAGGAGCCAAAUUUCAGGCCCAAGAGAGAAUUGUAUCUAACCCUCUCUUGAAGGGAAUCCUGCAGAGUCACUUGGGAAAGAAACCCAUUAACAAGGAAGAACAACAAGGCUUCUUCAUGGAGAGAGCCCUAUGUAAUAAGUCACCUGAAAGGAUCCAUCGCAGGCUUCCUCAGAGAAUUCACUGGCAAAGUCCUUAUGAGAGGAGGCAACACAGCCCUUCUUGGAGAAGGCAUAGUAGUCCCGCUGACAGAACCCUUAGAAGUCUUUCUGAGAGGUGUCAUCGCAGUCCUUCCCAGAGAAAGAGUCUUAGCUCCUCUCUAAGAACCUACCACAAUCUCUCUGACAGACUUCAUAACAGUCCCUCAAGGAGGAGCCCUCCCAGGCCCUCAAGAAAGAACCCAAGAAGUCCUUCGAGGAUGAGCCCUCACAGUCCCUCAUGGAGGACCCCAUGCAGUCCCUCAAGCAGGAGCCCUCACAGUCCCUCAAGGAGGACCCCACUCAGUCCCUCAAGGAGAACUCCUCGAAGUUCCUCAAGGAGAAGUCAUCACAUUCCCUCAAGGAGGCACACUCAAAAUCCCUCUGGAAGUAGCCAUCACAGUCGCUCAAGGAGUAGUAGCCAUCCAAGUUCAUCACGGAGGAGCCCUCCCAGGUCCUCAAGAAAGAAUCCAAGAAGUCCUUCAAGGAUAAGCCCUCACAGUCCCUCAAGGAGGACCCCACUCAGUCCCUCAAGGAGGAGCCCUCACAGUCCCACAAGAAGGACCCCACUCAGUCCCUCAAGGAGAACUCCUCGAAGUUCCUCAAGGAGAAGUCAUCACAUUCCCUCAAGGAGGCACACUCAAAAUCCCUCUGGAAGUAGCCAUCACAGUGGCUCAAGGAGUAGUAGCCAUCCAAGUUCAUCACGGAGGAGCCCUCCCAGGUCCUCAAGAAAGAAUCCAAGAAGUCCUUCAAGGAUGAGCCCUCACAGUCCCUCAAGGAGGACCUCAUGCAGUCCCUCAAGGAGGAGCGCUCACAGUCCCUCAAGGAGAACCCCACUCAGUCCCUCAAGGAGAACUCCUCGAAGUUCCUCAAGGAGAAGUCAUCACAUUCCCUCAAGGAGGCACACUCAAAAUCCCUCUGGAAGUAGCCAUCACAGUGGCUCAAGGAGUAGUAGCCAUCCAAGUUCAUCACGGAGGAGCCCUCCCAGGUCCUCAAGAAAGAAUCCAAGAAGUCCUUCAAGGAUGAGCCCUCACAGUCCCUCAAGGAGGACCUCAUGCAGUCCCUCAAGGAGGAGCGCUCACAGUCCCUCAAGGAGAACCCCACUCAGUCCCUCAAGGAGAACUCCUCGAAGUUCCUCAAGGAAAAGUCAUCACAUUCCCUCAAGGAGGCACACUCAAAAUCCCUCUGAAAGUAGCCAUCACAGUCGCUCAGGGAGUAGCCGUCCAAGUACUGCAGGGAGAAGUCACUCCAGGAGGUGCCCUUGCAGCCCUUGAGGAGGAUGCUGGCAUCAGGACCCAUGAAGCCUCUGACAUCACAUAGGCACAACCCCACACCUGUUGCCAAGGUAACAGCCACCAUAUUAUCAGAAUCCACUUGGAUCAUCUUCCACCUUUUGCUAUGACUAUGUCACCAUCCAUAUAUAAAUAAAAGCCCCUUGAUCUCUCUUUCUCUCCCUCUCCUUCUCUUUCCACCACCUUGCCCCUCUUUCUCUCAAUAAACUUCACGUGGAACUGUU
rnacentral:lncRNA from 1 species